rnacentral:rRNA from 1 species
AUUGUGCGGUUUAAUUGGAUUCAACGCCGGAAAACUCACCAUGGCCGACGGACAGAUGAAAGCCAGCGUAAUGAGCUUGCUGGAUUGUUCGAGAGGUAUUGCAUGGCCGUCGUCAGUUCGUAACGUAAGGCGUUCUGUUAAGUCAGAUAACGAACGAGACCCUCAUCCCUAUUUGCCAACCAGGUCCCCGGAUCUGGCGCACUAUAGGGAGACUGCCCGCGCUAAGUGGGAUGAAGGGGAGGGCAACGGUAGGUCAGUAUGAUCCGAAUGCUAUGGGCUACACGCGCAAUACAAAGGACGGGACAAUGGGCUGCAACUCCGAGAGGAACGACGCUAUCCCGAAACCCGUUCGUAGUUCGGAUUGAGGGCUGUAACUCGCCCUCAUGAAGCUGGAUUAGGUAGUAAUCGCGUCUCAACAGGGCGCGGUGAAUAUGCCCCUGCUCCUUGCACACACCGCCCGUCAAACCAUCUUAGUUGGGGGUGGGUGAGGCUACCUUUGAAUGGGGUAUUCGAGCCUGCCUUCGACAAGGAGGGUUAAGUCGUAACAAGGUAUCUGUAGGGGAACCUGCAGAUG